UGGCUGCAGUAUUUUGACUGUACAAAGGUAGCAUAAUCAUUAGUUUUUUAAUUGAAGGCUUGUAUGAAUGGUUGGACGAAGUAUAAACUGUUUCAUAAAAAUUUAUAAUAAAAUUUUAUAUUUUAGUCAAAAAGCUAAAAUAUUAUUAAAAGACGAGAAGACCCUAUAAAUCUUUAUAUUUUAAUAAUAUUAAAUUAUUUGAUUUAUAAUUUAAUUUAAUUUUUUUAAAAUAUUUUAUUGGGGUGAUAUUAAAAUUUAUAAAACUUUUAAUUUUAAAUUAACAUUUAUUUAUGAUUUAUUGAUCUAUUAAUAAUGAUUAUAAGAAUAAGUUACUUUAGGGAUAACAGCGUAAUUUUUUUAGAGAGUUCUUAUUAAUAAAAAAGUUUGCGACCUCGAUGUUGGAUUAAGAAAUAAAUUUGGGUGAAGAAGCUUAAAUAUUAAGUCUGUUCGACUUUUAAAUUCUUACAUGAUCUGAGUUCAAACCGGCGUAAGCCAGGUUGGUUUCUAUCUUUAAUUUUUACUAAUAUUUUAGUACGAAAGGACCAAAUAUUAAAUUAAUAAUAAUUUAUAUUUUUGAAUAUAAAUAAAUAAU
rnacentral:rRNA from 1 species